AUUGAACGCUGGCGGCAUGCUUUACACAUGCAAGUCGAACGGUAACAGGCCGCAAGGUGCUGACGAGUGGCGAACGGGUGAGUAAUGCAUCGGAACGUGCCCAGUCGUGGGGGAUAACGCAGCGAAAGCUGCGCUAAUACCGCAUACGAUCUAUGGAUGAAAGCGGGGGACCGAAAGGCCUCGCGCGAUUGGAGCGGCCGAUGUCAGAUUAGGUAGUUGGUGGGGUAAAGGCUCACCAAGCCAACGAUCUGUAGCUGGCCUGAGAGGACGACCAGCCACACUGGGACUGAGACACGGCCCAGACUCCUACGGGAGGCAGCAGUGGGGAAUUUUGGACAAUGGGCGCAAGCCUGAUCCAGCCAUUCCGCGUGCAGGAUGAAGGCCUUCGGGUUGUAAACUGCUUUUGUACGGAACGAAAAGGCUCUGGUUAAUACCCGGGGCUCAUGACGGUACCGUAAGAAUAAGCACCGGCUAACUACGUGCCAGCCGCCGCGGUAAGAC
rnacentral:rRNA from 1 species